ACUGGGAAAUAAACGUUGGAAAAGGUCCCUUGAUGUUGCAAAUAAAGUGUGUAUUUCAAAUAAAAGGACGAUUUCUCUGGCCCUCGAAAAUGGAUUGACUGCACUUACUCUGGAGGAAUUGAUCGCAUUCGGUCUUGAGAAUUUUUGUCUGAUCGGCCAAGGAAGGAUCAAGGAUACGAAGUCUGUGGAUGUCAUCGAUGAAUAAUCCUUGUUCAACCAGUUCGUCCUCCGCCAUGAACACAUUAUUCACAUCCAUGAUUGACUGUGCUGGUCU